UAGUAACGCAGUAUGAAGUUUUUAUGACGUGAUUCGUGAAUGAAAAGACUACGUAUACCGGUAUAGAUGUACUAAGUUAUCAAGUCUUGCAAAUCAAAUUAUUAAUUGCACUUUUAAUUUAGAAUAUUACGAGUUGUAUUGUCACGGUGAAAUUAUGGGAAACUAUUGCGCUGCUGGAAUAGUGCAAGUUCUAGCCGGUAUAGUGGUGUAUACGGGGAAAGGCAUGUGGUUGCUCGCAAAGCUUGGGUUCAAAGCGACGGGCAUCGUGGCGGGAAGCCUCGCCGCGAUGGCGAUGUCUAGCUUCGGUAAUGUGCAGUCCGGAAGCAUUAUAGCACAGGCAACGUCUAUGGCUAUGCGGUCGUAGAUGUGUCAGUGAGCUGUUGGUGAUUUCAUUUUUUUUUUAUUCAGACAAUAAUAAAAAUUUU